UACGAAGGGGGCUAGCGUUGUUCGGAUUUACUGGGCGUAAAGCGCACGUAGGCGGAUCGAUCAGUCAGGGGUGAAAUCCCAGGGCUUAACCCUGGAACUGCCUUUGAUACUGUCGGUCUAGAGUCCGGAAGAGGUGAGUGGAAUUCCGAGUGUAGAGGUGAAAUUCGUAGAUAUUCGGAGGAACACCAGUGGCGAAGGCGGCUCACUGGCCCGGUACUGACGCUGAGGUGCGAAAGCGUGGGGAGCAAACAGG
rnacentral:rRNA from 1 species